CCUACGGGUGGCAGCAGUGGGGAAUCUUCCGCAGUGGGCGCAAGCCUGACGGAGCAAUGCCGCGUGAACGAAGUAGGUCUUCGGAUUGGAAAGUUCUGUCCUUAUCGAAGUGAGGGUAUAGAGUGAAAAAUGAUAUACUAGGACGGUAGAUGAGGAGGAAGCCCCGUCUAACUACGUGCCAGCAGCCGCGGUAAUACGUAGGGGGCGAGCGUUGUCCGGAAGCACUGGGCGUAAGGGGCGCGUAGGCGGAAAUAUAAGUCAGAUGUGAAAGGUGGGGGCUCAACCCCUAGAGUGCAACUGGUACUGUAUGACUUGAGUGUGGGAGAGGGAAGCGGAAUUCCUAGUGUAGCGGUGAAAUGCGUAGAUAUUAGGAGGAACACCAGUGGCGAAGGCGGCUUUCUGGCCCAUAACUGACGCUGAGGCGCGAAAGCGUGGGGAGCAAACAGGAUUAGAUACCCUUGUAGUC
rnacentral:rRNA from 1 species